rnacentral:rRNA from 1 species
CAAUAGCGUAUAUUAAAGUUGUUGCAGUUAAAAAGCUCGUAGUUGAAUUUCUGUACAUUCCCGGUGCCGGCUCUUGUCGAACCGUGGAGUGUGCAUCCGCUUACAAACUUAGCCCGGUCUUCAUUGGUCGACUAAGGGAGUAGGCCCUUUACUUUGAAAAAAUUAGAGUGUUUAAAGCAGGCGUUUGCAUUGAAUACAUUAGCAUGGAAUAAUAAGAUACGACUUUGGUGGUCUAUUUUGUUGGUUUGCACACCAGAGUAAUGAUUAAUAGGGACAGUUGGGGGUAUUCAUAUUUCAGCGUCAGAGGUGAAAUUCUUGGAUCGCUGAAAGAUGAGCUUAGGCGAAAGCAUUUACCAUGGAUGUUUUCAUUAA